CGGAUUGCAGCCUGCAACUCGGCUGCAUGAAGCUGGAAUCGCUAGUAAUCGCGGAUCAGAAUGCCGCGGUGAAUACGUUCCCGGGUCUUGUACACACCGCCCGUCACACCAUGGGAGCCGGGAAUGCCCGAAGUCAGUGGCCCAACCGCAGGGAGGGAGCUGCCGAAGGCAGGCCUGGUGACUGGGGUGAAGUCGUAACAAGGUAGC
rnacentral:rRNA from 1 species